rnacentral:rRNA from 1 species
AUUGAACGCUGGCGGCAGUCCUAACACUUGCAAUUCGAGCGGAGCGGCGGACGGGUGUGUAAUGCCUAGGAAUCUGCCUGGUAGUUGGGGAUCACGUCCGGAAACGGGCGCUAAUACCGCAUACUAUCAGCUGAGCCUCGGUCGGAUUAGCUAGUUGGUGGUGUAAAGGCCUCCCAAGGCAACGAUCCGUAACUGCUCUGCGCGGAUGAUCCGUCACAGUGUAACUGCGACACGGUCCAUACUCCUACGGGAGGCAGGCGUGGGGAAUAUUGGACAAUGGUCGAAAGCCUGAUCCAGACAUGCCGCGUGUGGGAAGAAGGUCUUCGGAUUGUAAAGCACUUUAAGUUGGUAGGGGGUACCAACAGAAUGUGCACCGGCUAACUUCGUGCCAGCAGCCGCGGUAAUAC